rnacentral:lncRNA from 13 species
CUUGCAUCCUGUGCUAAAUACAAGAUUGAUCCUUUCCACCUCAAGAGCCUCACUCUGUCACCCAGGCUGGAGUGCAAUGGUGUGAUCUUGGCUCACUGCAACCUCUGCCUUCUGGGUUCAAGCAAUUCUCCUACCUCAGCCUCCUGACUAGCUGGGACUAAGGAGCAUGCCACCACUCCAGUUUGAAAACAACUGAAAAACCAAGAAAAAAAAAAGCCUUAGAAGAGGGGACUACUAUUACUAUAGAGCAACAGUGAUCAUUGCUACCCAGUUUUGGAUGAGGAAGAAAUCAGCGAAGAGGAAAGGGGAGAGUGAUCCAGGCUCUCUUCAGUUCCAAGGUAUUCCCAGCUGCCAAGAGUCAC